AUGACCACACCAAGAACCAAGGAUGCAGGCAGCGGCCUAAAACACGACGAUAUAGUCUUUAAACAUCGAGUGAGGAGCCCAAGAGCGAGUGCACCCGGACAGCUCCAGCCGCCUCUGCAGGGCAACCCCACCUCAGCCACCGCUGCCGCUGCCGCUGUUGUAGGGCCCUCAGAGAUCCACACUGGCCUCCCCGAGAACCAGCCCACCCGCCUGCCACCACCAGCCACGCUAACAGCAGACCAACCACCACAGAGGUGCCCAAGUGAGAGCAGAAGAGGCGGCAUGAGCGAGGCAGGCAAGGCCGCCACCACCACCAGCACCACCCUCCGCAGGCUCCAUUCUGGCGACAGGAAACCCAGGUAGGGACGCUGCCCCCACAGCCACCGGUACCACGGCCACCUCUUCAGCCCCCGCUGGCAGCAAAGACACAGAGAAAAACGUUCUCCAAAGUCCUUGGCACUGUCAAAUGGUUCAACUUCAGAAAUGGAUAUGGAUUUAUAAAUUGAAAUGACACCAAAGAAGAUGUAUUUGUACAUCAGACUGCCAUCAAGAAGAAUAACCCACGGAAAUAUCUGCGCAGCGUAGGAGAUGGAGAAACUGUAGAGUUUGAUGUGGUUGAAGGAGAGAAGGGUGCAGAAGCAGCCAACGUGACUGGCCCAGACGGAGUUCCUGUGGAAGGGAGUCGUUAUGCUGCUGAUGGGUGUCGUUACCGACGUGGCUACUAUGGCAGACGCUGUGGACCUCCCUGGAAUUACGCUGGGGAGGAGGAGGAGGAAGGGAGCGGCAGCAGUGAAGGAUUUGAGCCCCUGCCACUGACCGGCAGUUCUCUGGGGUCUGGAAUCAGCUGCGCCGCCCUCAGUACCAGCAGCAGCGGUUCCCGCCUUACCACGUGGGACAGGCCUUUGACCAUUGCUCACAGGUCUUUCCCCAUCCCAGCAGAAUGCAGGCUGGUAAGAUUAGAGAGAUGAAGGAUGGGGUCCCAGAGGGAGCACAGCUUCAGGGACCAGUUCAUCGAAAUCCAACCUAUCGCCCAAGGUACCCUAGGGGACCUCCUCGCUCACUACCUGCCCCAGCUGCAGGAGAGGCUGAAGAUAAAGAGAAUCAGCAAGCAGCCAGUGGUCCAAACCAGCCAUCUGCUCACCGUGGGUACCAGUGUCCCUACAACUAUCUGCGUUGCCCCCGUCCUCUUAAUGCUCCUUCACAAGAUGGCAAAGAGACCAAGGCAGGUGAUGCCCCAACUGAGAACCCUGCUCCCUCCACCCAGCAGAGCAGUGCUGAGUAACACCAGGCUCCCGGGCACCUUCACCAUCUAUAGGGUGACCUAAAGAAUUAAUGACCAUUCAAAAGUAAAAUAAAGCAAAAAGCAGACUACAACCUUAUCAACACCAAAGAAACAUCCAAGCAAUAAGUGGAAGACUAACCAAGAUUUGGACAUUAGAAUGUUUAUUAUUAUUUUUCAAGAAACUAACAACUGCAAAAGGAAAAUGUCAGCAGAUUUUUCCAGCAAGCUGAGAUCCUGGGAAUGCCUGCACGAAAGACUACAGAGCAACCUCCCCAGUUUCAGUAACCACUAGGUUUAUAUUUUUUCCUGGUUUUUACUGUUUUGGUAAUAUGAAUUGAAAGAAAAGAAAUAUUAAUAUCACAUGGGGAGAACCCCAACCAAAUAAAUCUGAAAUAUAUAGUAAAUGCUUUUUUUCUUUUUUAGUUCAUUUUGGAUGCUGGUGCUAAACUUCCAAGUGUCAUGAUUUAAAAAGAAAUUUUAUGCCCUUCUUAUUUAUUUCUAGGAUGAGGGGAGGAUAACAUUUUUGCUUUCUUAUGUGACUCUCUUUGACAAUGUGCAGUAAGAAGUUCCUCAAAAAUAAAAUUUUUAUCCUUCA